UUUUACUUUUCAGAAGUCCUGGUGACAUAUUUAUAUUAAUUAAUAUAUGAUAUAUGAUUUUUGCAGAGUAAUGAAGUGAAUCCACAUCCAUUUGAAUAUACGAAUGGUUAUAGAUUUGAAUACAAGAAUUAUUAUCAUUGAGACAAACUGACUGCAUGAAUAAUGAAAAUUAUCUGGGAGAAUCUUUUUACAUUUCUUCGAGAUUUGUGGCCAAAUCUCCUUGGCUUUUAUACUGUGUCUUAUUAAAAAGCACAAUUUCUUGUAUACUCUAAAUAAAAUAUAUAUUCCUUUUCGCCUA